rnacentral:misc_RNA from 1 species
GAUGAAGAACGUAGCGAAAUGCGAAAAGUAAUGUGAAUUGCAGAAUUCAGUGAAUCAUCGAAUCUUUGAACGCACAUUGCGCCCGCCAGUAUUCUGGCGGGCAUGCCUGUCUGAGCGUCAUUUCAACCCUCACGCCCCUAGGGCGUGGUGUUGGGGAUCGGCCAAGGCCCGCAAGGGACGGCCGGCCCCUAAAUCUAGUGGCGGACCCAUCGUGGCCUCCCCUGCGAAGUAGUAAUAUAUUCCGCAUCGGAUAGCGAUGAGCCCCUGCCGUUAAACCCCCAACUCUUUCAAGGUUGACCUCAGAUCAGGUAGGAAUACCCGCUGAACUUAAGCAUAUCAAUAAGCGGAGGA